CACACACACACACAGUCUUACACUCACACACACACUGAGACACACACUCUUACACUCACACACACACUGAGACACACACACUCACAGACACACACACACUCUUUACUACACAACGCGCUCACUCACAAACACACACACACACACACACACACACACACACUCACACACACACACCUGUGAGCCCUUCUUAAACUGGCUGAACCAGCUUCCUGGUUUCUCUCUGCUCCAUGAAGCCAUUUUGACCUGUGCACAGUAAACAUCAUCAACACAUUUCUAAACACACACAGCAUGUGUAAAAGGCAUAUAUAAAAGUUUGUCUAAUUCAGUAUUUCUCAGCCUUUUUGGCUUCCCCCUUGUCCUCAAAAAAUGGACAGCUUUGUUGUGGUUGUGAAAUGUAAAAAAGUGAAUUCACAUCCGCAGUCAAAGUGAUUUGAGUCUCUCACCGUCUGUACGCUGCUGUGCGGCUGGAGACACGUUUCACCUUCUGCUGUGAAGUUGCAGAACACUUUAAACGCAUCCCUGUGACAUCCCUGGUUGGGGUCAAUCCAGUAAACUCCUGAGGUCAAAGGUCACACAGAGAGAAGCGAUUCAGAUACACGGGACGGUGAUGAUUCCUCCAGAGUAGCAGAGCUCUGGAACAAGUGUAAAUUAUUGUCUGAAUGUGUGUUGUGAGUGUGUGUGUGAGAGAGAGAGAGACUAUAUCUGUGAGUGUGUGUACCUGGAAUCCCGGGUUCCCCUGCUGUCCUGGAGCUCCAGGUUCUCCAGGCGGCCCCUGUGUGAAGACGAGAAGAGUGUGUGAUGAUGACCUGCGGCUCCAGGGUCUUUCAAAGGGUCAUGAACUGCCUUCGUUUUUUUAUUUUUAUUUUGUACUGUUAUUUGAGGUCUACUCAUAAUGUUAUCAAGAAUUUUACUUCAAAAAUCAUAGAAGUAAUAGGCUAUUUUCUGUGCUGUUUUUAACCCCCUCAUCAGAACGCUCUGUUGGAAUAGAUGUGGAGGACUGUAGACUCAGAAGUAAACACACUGCUGUGAUUGGCUAAUAGUUGUGUAUAUUUGACAGAGUACAUUCCUCACAGAUGGACGCUGCUGUGAUUUAGGUCAAAAACACAUAAAUACUCAAUACAUAUCAAACGAUCUGUUUAACAGACAAAGCAAUAGUGAUACUGUCAGAUCCUAUACAGUCACACAGCAUCGCCUUUUAGUUUCAAUCUUUCUGAAAAUCCUGUGGAAUUGUGCCUUGUUUGUAAACCAAUCUGUGGUAAAAUGAAGUGAACAAAGGACUGAGUUAUUACUGACGCGGUCUGGAUCUUCAUUAAAAAUAAAGUUCAUCUGUUCUUUCCUAAUGCUGGGAUC
ensembl:lncRNA